rnacentral:rRNA from 1 species
UGGGGAAUUUUGGACAAUGGACGCAAGUCUGAUCCAGCCAUGCCGCGUGCGGGAAGAAGGCCUUCGGGUUGUAAACCGCUUUUGUCAGGGAAGAAACGAGUUUCUCUAAUACAGAGACUUAGUGACGGUACCUGAAGAAUAAGCACCGGCUAACUACGUGCCAGCAGCCGCGGUAAUACGUAGGGUGCGAGCGUUAAUCGGAAUUACUGGGCGUAAAGCGUGCGCAGGCGGUUAUGUAAGACAGAUGUGAAAUCCCCGGGCUCAACCUGGAAACUGCAUUUGUGACUGCAUAGCUAGAGUACGGCAGAGGGGGAUGGAAUUCCGCGUGUAGCAGUGAAAUGCGUAGAUAUGCGGAGGAACACCGAUGGCGAAGGCAAUCCCCUGGGCCUGCACUGACGCUCAUGCACGAAAGCGUGGGGAGCAAACA